UUUAUUGGUCACGGGUUGCAGGUUUUUGGGCUACUAAGUGCUAUUGUGGCCGGCAUGGCAUUUCUCUUUUAUAUAUAUUUCACUGUGACCUGCUGCUGACUAUCAGGCAGUGAGGUCGGCUGUUGCUGAGUGAGUGGUGUGGAGGGCCGGAGAGGUGUGUGUUGAGAGAGCACUGCAGCAUAGUCCACUAUUGGCUGACUCACAUGAGUGAGAGGAGACCGAGCAGCACAAGCUGUGAACUUUUUACCAGUUGUAGGUUCUGGGUCCCUGGAAGUGAGAAUGCAUGUGAUGAUAUUUUCGUCAUUCCACGAGAGCAUGCAGGAGAUCGCCGCCAUGUUGAACCACCAUCUGCCCUGGUCAAGCUCAUGACCUUUAUGGGCCUCGGCAGGAUACACCCAGAAGGAGCAGCUGGAGGUGGACUCCAAUCAAGUUGUAGAGACAUCUCAAUGAUGAUCAAUGGAAACAGGAUGCAUCUGAGCUCAAUUUCGAGUCUCAUAGCAAAGGGUCUGAAUACUUAUUUAAAUAAGGUAAUUCUGUUUUAAAUGUUUUAUUAAUUUCUUAACCUGUUUUU